GGGGAUAUAGCUCAGGGGUAAAGCGCUCUCUUAGAACGGGAGAGGGCAGGGGUUCAAAUCCCCAUAUCUCCA
rfam:Ascaris lumbricoides genome assembly, scaffold: ALTE_scaffold0000526